GUGUCCUGGUGAUUUUGUGACUCUUACCCAGGGACCCCAACGCACUAGACGUUGACACAGGUGCAUGCCAUUUCUCCUAAAGAGCUGAGUAUCUGUCCAUCGAUUUAUAUUCAGCCUGUGAGGAUCAUAUUUCCACACUUUUGGCCAUGAGGCAGCUCUAUACCAUGGGUUAUCUGAAAAGGUCCUUAUUUGACCUUGCCUCUUGAAAGACAUUUUCACUGAAUUUUAGACCUUAUAUUUUUUUCCCCUCUCAGUAUUUUAAUGGUUUUCCAGUACCUUUUGUUCCCCAUAUUCUCUGGUGUUUCCUCAGCUGUCAUUCAGCUUUGGCCUAUGUGCAGUUUGUUUCCAUGUGUCUGAAAUGCUUUCUCCUGGCUUCAUAUUAUAUAAAGAAAUGAAGAAACAGUUCUUCUCAAGGUUUUGUGUUCUACACAGAUGUUGCCUUUAAAUAUCAGAAAAUGAAUUUUACCUGAGGGACAAGGAAACUAAUUUACCAAUAACUAUAUAAUGAUACUGUUUGGAUUCUUAAUAUAUACCUUUUUUCCUCAUGUCUUUUAUAGCCAAUAACAGUAAUAUCAAGAAACUCUGAUACAGUGAAGGAUGUUAUAGGCAAGUCACUCUCAAUCCUAGGAAUAAAAGGCUCCGAGAGUGACUACCAGUUGUGGCUCCAUUCUGAACAUGAAGAAGCUCCCUUUGUCUUCAUUGAGUCAGAGCAGAAGAAAGAAGGAAGGGGAAGAUCUUUCAUCAUAUGGUUUUUUGGGUGGCGGUCCAGCACAGCCAAGGAGAACAAACCCCUGAAAUCCUCACGUGUAAAGACAAGACUGCUCUUUGGGACUUCCCUGGAGGCUGCUUGUAAGGAUGGCAAACUACCCUCCCCUAUUCUGGAGAUGAUUUCCUUCCUCAGUCAGGAGGGGCGGCUCACCGAGGGCAUCUUCAGAAAGUCAAGCAGUGUCAAAGCCUUCAGAGCCCUCAAAGAAAAACUCAUGUCUGGAGCCCGAGUGGACCUGCACCAGGAAUCCGUGUCUGUGGUGGCCUCAGUGUUAAAGUCUUUUAGAAAUGCUGCCCAGAGUCAACCAACUGCUGCUGAAACAUCUCUUUGGAAUGUUAAGCCAAAUCCACCAGACUUCCUCCAUAAACCUGAUGACCUCCUACAACCUAGCUGUGUGCACAGCUUCCAGCUUGAUGGCCCCGCCUCCUGAUGCCAGGGCAGGAUUUGAUACUCAACUCAUGAGAAAGGUUGCCCUGGUGCAGUUUUUGAUUGAAAACACUCCCACAAUCUUUGCCAAAGACUUCACUCCUGUCUCUUAGGAGAGCUCAGACUGACAACGAAGCUAUGAUUGUGUGAGCACCACUGAAGACAAACUCACCUAUUUUUUGGCUUCCCAAUUCUUCUUCCCAUCUUUCCAAAUCUAAAGAUCUUCCCAGUCCCCAUAGUAUACUAAGUUUUUCACUUAUAUUAUUUUGUCUUUCGUUAAUUGUUGAUAUAAUAAAAUAAAAACAUAA